UGCGUAGACGGGAAGGUAAGUUAGUUGUGAAAUCCCUCGGCUCAACUGAGGAACUGCGACUAAAACUGCUUUUCUUGAGUGCUGGAGAGGAAAGGGGAAUUCCCAGUGUAGCGGUGAAAUGCGUAGAUAUUGGGAGGAACACCAGUGGCGAAGGCGCCUUUCUGGACUGUGUCUGACGCUGAGAUGCGAAAGCCAGGGUAGCGAACG
rnacentral:rRNA from 1 species